rnacentral:rRNA from 1 species
AUUGAACGCUGGCGGCAGGCCUAACACAUGCAAGUCGAACGAGUGGCGGACGGGUGAGUAAUGUCUGGGAAACUGCCCGAUGGAGGGGGAUAACUACUGGAAACGGUAGCUAAUACCGCAUACCAUCGGAUGUGCCCAGAUGGGAUUAGCUAGUAGGCGGGGUAACGGCUCACCUAGGCGACGAUCCCUAGCUGGUCUGAGAGGAUGAACAGGCACACUGGAACCGAGACACGGUCCAGGCUCCUACGGGAGGCAGCAGUUGGGAAUAUUGGACAAUGGGCGGAAGGCUGAUGCCGCCAUGCCUCGUGUAUGAAGGAGGCCUUCGGGUUGUAAAGUACUUUCAGCGAGGAGGCGUUACUCGCAGAAGAAGCACCGGCUAACUCCGUGCCAGCAGCCGCGAUAC